ensembl:lncRNA
UAAGGGCCCCGGGACUCUUCAGAUGGUACGUUGAUUUCGAAGGCGCUAACCCUGAGCAGCGCACCUUAUCUUCUCAACCGGACGAGCCUGAUCAAAUAAGCCUUUUAAUGUCGUAUCAGUGGACUGCUCCAUCAGCAGAUCGUUUAUGCGAUACAGGCAGAGAUUGGCCCACCUGGAGUCAACCCAUUUUCUGGAACAUCCAUCUCAGAAUUUAAAGUCCAAGCAGGUCACCAAUGUUAAAGAGGACUAGAGAGCCGGCUGAUUGCAUUCGACGGCAGGAGGACGAAGUGCUCAGCCGGGUGUCUGUCAGGGCGUGUCACACCCUCC